AGUGAACGCUGGCGGCGUGCCUAAUACAUGCAAGUCGAACGGAGUGGCGCACGGGUGAGUAAUAUAUAGCUAAUCUGCCCCUUGCUGGAGGACAACAGUUAGAAAUGACUGCUAAUACUCCAUAGCAAGGGAUGAGACUAUAUCGUAUCAGCUAGUCGGUGGGGUAACGGCCUACCGAGGCUAUGACGCGUAACUGGUCUGAGAGGAUGAUCAGUUACAUUGGAACGGAGACACGGUACAAAUACCGACGGGAGGAAGGAGGAGGGAAGAAUGAGCAAUGGGGGAAAGCCUGACGAAGCAACGGCGCGUGGAGGAUGACACUGUUCGGAGCGUAAACUCCUUUUGUUAGGGAGGCGGUACCUAACGAAUAAGCACCGGCUAACUACGUGCCAGCAGCCGCGGUAAUUC
rnacentral:rRNA from 1 species